CGCUAAACGUUGUGAGGACUGUUCCAUCCACAACAUGGCAGCCACACAUUAUUUCCAAAAAUGAGACUGCCGAUUGCCACUAGCCCAAGUUCAAUAUUGCCCCCCCCCCCCUCUCUGCCUGAGGUCCUGGUCAUUAUGUUGAAUACAUCUCACUUGAAACCCUUCUUAAGGAGUAGGGCCCUGCAAGGCUAGGCUGAGCUGGCUUGAGUCAUCGGGCUCAUUCUUGACUCAGGUGAAGUUCUGACGGAGCCUCUGAAAUCCUUCGUGCUGCAGAGUUCCACUCUGCGCUGGUCGUCCUGUUCAUGUCAACCCAUGCUUCCGUUUCGCUGCACCAAUCCAAAACCGAUACCAUUAGUGGAGUGUGCAGGGCAUCUUAGAAAGGCCUUCCACUGUUAUAAGACAUGUUCGCUACUGCAAUGAUUAAUAAUAAUUUCACAAUGCCACAUUGUCUGGGUACAAAUCUUAACUUAGUAUGAUUUUACUGUUUCGAAACAUCCAAAAAAAACACGCAUGGAACCUAUUUUCUGUAGGGUGAGUGGAACACUGAAGUGAGAACUUGUGUUCUGCUCCAGAGUUUAGUAGUCGUCCCCCCAGUGGCCUGACUUCGCGCAUCUUCGACGUCCAGAACCCUGACCUCAGUUCUAGCGCAUGGUCUGAGUGGCCCAUGGUGUGUCUCAGACUCCAGCAGCCAGGCCUCUGUAAUGUAAUGCAUCCUGCAUCGUAGCGCUGAGAGGGAAAUGCAGAUCUGCAUCCGUUUGGGAGUGGGGUUCGUUCAAUGCGAUGGCUUACUACUAGGAUUCUCUAUUUCAGUGACCGCAUGCACUUAGUUAUAAGGGCAUUUGUGUGUGUGUGUGUGUGUGUGUGUUUGUGUACGCACACACGCACACUCACUGGUCAAUGAUUUAAUUUUUCUGUGAUAUAGAAGCACACACAAGCGUUCACACAUGCAUAAACAUGGCCACACACACACACACACACACACACACACACACACACACACACACACACGGCCUCUCAUAUUAGUAGCUCUUCCAUUCCCCUGAGCUCUUUUCAGCUCUGUCCCCCUUUCUAUGACUCACCCUAGAUCUGUAUUUGUAGAUAUCUGAAGCACCUGGAUGGGGUUUGCUACUGUUUACACCACACUGGAUUCGCUCUGUCCUCCCUUUGUUUGUACAUAAUGAAAAAACAACCACGUCUACUAAUGUAGAGGUAAUCCUGCGGCACCCAUAUAGCCAGCACUAUGCAGUACAGAAGAAAUACCUUUCCUUGGCAUGCUUUGAGAUGCAGAACACUUUAGAGAUGACAAACAUUUCACUUAAUAAAGUCUGUUUGAAUUUCUUAAAAAAAACAUUAAUGUCAAUAAUUAUAUUGGUAAUAAAUAACGAUUGGUAUGAAAGGAGAGCGACGGUGAUGAAAAACAUGACUUAAUAUGAACCUUUUUACUGCAUGCUGCACUGACUCCAUCAGAGCGAGACGCACGAAGCAGCACUCUUUCUUGUCGCUGUAUGCUUGCAAACUGUAGAGUAAAACACUGAACACUUCCGAGUGACGGAAGAGGCCUAUGAACAUAACUUAUAUAGUACGUCCGGGUUAUGGAAGAGCGAGACGGUGAAUAAUGGCGGAAACAAUGAAUCCUAGAUGCUAGUGGAUUCUCUCUGUUCAUUGUGUGCCUCAGCUCUGUACCAGAGUGAUGCAUGUGUCACAGUCCUGGAAGAUUUACUGUGUAGGAGCGCUUGAAUCCAUUUAUUUUGGUAGGGGCUGAUUUAGGCUGUGUAGGCUUUGCUUGGUACCUAGAUACGAGAGCAUUUGACAUAUGUGCGAUCCCUUUUCUCCGUCUAAUGCCCAGGUAGUAUGGGCUCCACUCACUGCCCGCUGUGCCAUUCUCCAAACAUCUGGGAGUGUGGGUUGGGAUGACAACAUCUGGCCUAUUUUAAAAAUCUGCUGUGUUAAUAAUAUGUUGCCUGAAGCACAUAAUGGGUGUUGAAAAAAAAAACGGAUUUACACUUACCCACCAAACCUAUGUUUGUUAUUUUCUUUAUUUUGGGAUUGAAGGACGUGUGUAAACUCUGUCUUUUCAGAUGAGGAUUAAUCAAACGGUUCUUAAUUUACCUUAAUAGGCCUAAAUCAGAAAUGGUUACCCCAAGGGCUGAAAAAGGUGGAGCUUAUUAAGUUAAUUAUAGGACUGAAGUCAUGACAGUGACAAGCAUUUAUUUCAAUAUACAGAGAUAUCCCUGUGGCUAAAACUUUAAGAGUACAGUAAUUAACCAUGAAUUAACAUUGAGUAAUAAGCAUUAACUAACAGUUAUUGAACAGUAAACUAAUGCUCUAGUAAUCCUUUACUAAUAACAUAUACUUUUUUAUUUAACUAAGCUAAUGGUGUUCAUGUUAACUAAGGUAUUAAUUGAUACAUUAUUUAAUUGGGUUAGGGCUAACCCCUUGGGUAGUUAAUUGUAGGGUUUACCUUAACCCUAUUAAAUAAUGUAUAAAGUCAUGCCUGGGUUAACAUGAACACCAUUAGUAAAAUUGUAUUAGCCCAUUAGUUUACUGUGAACAAAGUGGAAUGCAUUUUACUGCAAUAACUAUCAGUUAAUUGUUAGCUGAUUGUUAGUUAACGCAUAUUACUGCAGUAACAAAUAAUGAUGAAUGGUUGAUUACUGCACCCUUGUGGUAGAGUGUUUCCCAGCUCAACACCACAUCAUCCCAGCUGUGAUGAAGAGUUGAGCAGGCCAGGCCAGUGAGGUUUAGACGAAGAUGAUGCAUCACUCAUCACAAUGUUGAAGAAGGAGGAGGGAUUGACUGUCUAAUGGCAUUAUCAAUUUGAACUUUAUAGAAUUUCCAAAUAUUUAUUUCAAUAAACCUCUUUGAAAGCAAUAUAUGGGUGUGUGGAUUCCCAUUGUCUAAUUAUGAAUUUUACCUUUAUAUAAUUUCCAAAUAUUUAUUUCAAUAAACCUCUUUGAAAGCAA